AAAAACAUUUCUUAAAAUAUUUUUUUAAGUAAAAUCUGCUCCAUGUAAAAUAAAUAGCCGCAAUAUAAUUAUUGUGCUAAGGUAGCAUAAUCAUUAGCCUUUUAAUUAAGGGCUAGAAUGAAUGAUUUAACAUUUAAAUUUCUUUUUUUUUAAAAAGUAUUUAAUUUAAAUUAAACAUAAAAAUGUGUUUAUAUAAUAAAAAGACGACAAGACCCUAUUGAACUUUACUUAAGUUUAGCUGGGGAAGCUAAUUAAAUACUAUUUUAAUUUUAAUUUUUAAUAUAAAUAACCUCUAAAAGAGAUUUUAACAAGUUACCAUAGGGAUAACAACCUAAUAUUUUUUAAAAGUUCUUAUAAAAAAAAAAGAUUGCGACCUCGAUGUUGAAUU
rnacentral:rRNA from 1 species